UACGUAGGGGGCAAGCGUUGUCCGGAAUCAUUGGGCGUAAAGAGCGUGUAGGCGGCCCGGUCAGUCCGCCGUGAAAGUCCAGGGCUCAACCCUGGAAUGCCGGUGGAUACUGCCGGGCUGGAGUCCGGAAGAGGCGAGUGGAAUUCCUGGUGUAGCGGUGAAAUGCGCAGAUAUCAGGAAGAACACCAAUGGCGAAGGCAGCUCUCUGGGACGGUACUGACGCUGAGACGCGAAAGCGUGGGGAGCGAACAGG
rnacentral:rRNA from 1 species